UCUCUUAGGGUCUCGCCCACAUCUUUCUAGCCAGUUCACAGUGUCCAUCUGCAGAUAACAGCACCUCCACGGGAAUUCAGAGCACUUCCACAUGGAGUUGCUGUUACAGGCAGCCAGCACUGGCAUGCUGACACCACCUGAAGCACAGUGGCGAUAUCACAGCACCGGGGUUUUAAUGACCAUGCUGGUUUCCUCACAUCUUCACCGAGGCCCUUAUACAUCGGGUUGUCUUUAAAAAGUGACAUGCGGCAAUCCCAUGCUUCUCUGUUUCCCUGUGGAUUAGAGGUCAGCCAUCAACACGGCGCAAAACAAUACAUACGUUCAUGCUGCAGAAAUACAUUCAUUUGAUGAAUGGAAUGGCGUGGAACUCUGCUUGCAGCUGAAGUCAGGAAGCAUCAAAACAUCCUCAGUAUCAGCAAUGCAAGCGGAAACCCCAGAAGACACCCCCAGCCUGAAACUUCCCCCAUGAAAGUGACUCAAGCCCUUCUGCUGAAAACGCAGGAGUUUAUGGCUGCAGUGGAAGCCGCGCCCCCCCCCCCCCCUUGCUUACACUCCCUGAGUGGAUUUGUGCCCAAAUACUUGGUGGACCUUACUCCCGUUCAUAUCUGCAGAAAAACAAAACAAUAAAACAAUUAAAAGGUGA